rnacentral:piRNA from 1 species
UACACCCAUAUGAAGGAACGAGGGUUGC